GACGUAGGGCGCGAGCGUUGUCCGGAUUUAUUGGGCGUAAAGGGCUCGUAGGCGGUUUGUCGCGUCGGGAGUGAAAACCCAGGGCUUAACCCUGGGCUGGCUUCCGAUACGGGCAGACUAGAGGUAUGCAGGGGAGAACGGAAUUCCUGGUGUAGCGGUGAAAUGCGCAGAUAUCGGGAGGAACACCGGUGGCGAAGGCGGCGACCUGGGUAGAUACUGACGCUGAGGCGCGAAAGCGUGGGGAGCAAACAGG
rnacentral:rRNA from 1 species